AUACGUAGGGUGCGAGCGUUGUCCGGAAUUACUGGGCGUAAAGAGCUCGUAGGUGGUUUGUCGCGUCGUCUGUGAAAUUCCAGGGCUUAACUCCGGGCGUGCAGGCGAUACGGGCAUAACUUGAGUACUGUAGGGGAGACUGGAAUUCCUGGUGUAGCGGUGAAUUGCGCAGAUAUCAGGAGGAACACCGGUGGCGAAGGCGGGUCUCUGGGCAGUAACUGACGCUGAGGAGCGAAAGCAUGGGUAGCGAACAGGAUUAGAUACCCUGGUAGUCCAUGCCGUAAACGGUGGGCGCUAGGUGUAGGGGUCUUCCACGACUUCUGUGCCGUAGCUAACGCAUUAAGCGCCCCGCCUGGGGAGUACGGCCGCAAGGCUAAAACUCAAAUGAAUUGACGGGG
rnacentral:rRNA from 1 species